rnacentral:rRNA from 1 species
UACGUAGGGUGCAAGCGUUAAUCGGAAUUACUGGGCGUAAAGCGUGCGCAGGCGGUGAUGUAAGACAGAUGUGAAAUCCCCGGGCUCAACCUGGGAACUGCAUUUGUGACUGCAUCGCUGGAGUGCGGCAGAGGGGGAUGGAAUUCCGCGUGUAGCAGUGAAAUGCGUAGAUAUGCGGAGGAACACCGAUGGCGAAGGCAGCUCGCUGGGACGGUACUGACGCUGAGGCGCGAAAGCGUGGGGAGCAAACAGG